CGCGUAGGCGGUCUUUUAAGUCAGGCGUGAAAUCUUUCGGCUCAACCGGAAACUUGCGCUUGAUACUGGAAGGCUUGAGUCAUGGAGAGGAGAGUGGAAUUCCUGGUGUAGCGGUGAAAUGCGUAGAUAUCAGGAAGAACACCAGUGGCGAAGGCGACUCUCUGGCCAUGUACUGACGCUGAGGCGCGAAAGCCAGGGGAGCGAACG
rnacentral:rRNA from 1 species